CACAGUACUACCAGUAAUAGCCUAUCUCUCAAAUUCCAAACUGAAACAGUGAGAUUUUCAUAUAAGCGCCACGCCAUUCGGUGGAACCAAUUAUCUAAGGAACCAUGUAACCGCACUGGGUAGUACGUUAGCUCAAAUGAUAUAUAGGGAAUUUUAAUAAUUAAUCAAGAAUAUGAUUAAUAUAUAUAUCUCAUAUGACAGUUACAUUAAAAUUAUUGAAGAUGAAAAAUAGGUCAAUUGUAUAUAUCAAUAACUCAUUACAAGGCACUGUAAUUUACUCAUUAAUAUGUCAAUAUUCCAUUCUUCAUAUCAAUUAACGUGAUAUCUUUUACUGGGAAUUAAUACAAAUCGAACAGUGGUUUGUCCAGCAAACGGCCGUAAGAUUAACUUAUCAACUUUCAAUAAAGUUAUCACUUCUUAUAAUUCCAGGAAAAAUAAUUUCUGGCCAUGAAACCAUUCUCCUGUCCUUAUAAAAUUUAGGUUACUGAAAAGUAACAAAUAAGCUUUGUAGCUAAGAUCAAACAUUUCAUUGACUUCGUGAAGUGAGCAUUUUAGACAGAAGCAAUCAUGAAUAUAUUGGCUUUUAAUAAUUGAACUAAUAAUACAUCAAACUACGAUUCACACAGAGUAAAGAUGCGUAUAAAAAUACAAACAGUAAAAACAAAUACAAUACAAAACGAAUAACAAAAUGAGAGAGAGAGAGAGAGAGAGAGAGAGAGUGAGUGAGUGAAAGGGUGAGCGAGAGAAGGUGAGAGAGAGAUAGGCAGAAUCAUGCAGAAUGAUCGCGCAGUAUGGCAAAAUCACAUACAGUAACCUUUUUGAAAGACAACAAGGAAUCAGAUCACCUUGAAAAGGGAAUAGACAACCUUAAGCAGCGUUUAAAUCUCUAUAGAAAAUAAUACUUGCAUGUGGGUAUCUUUGUGCCUGCUAACGUGCGUCGUGCUUUUAGAGCUGGGCGUGUUCUCUCGUGUCUUCCGGGGCGAGCAGACUCGCGCGAAGUUUCAAAGGUUCAACGAACGUGGAGUUACCAAAGAAAUAAUUCAGAGUUCGUCUCCCUCGUGUAGGGAGAGGCGAAUAUAAGAAUAAAACUUAGUAAAGAAAAGAAAAGAAAAACGGA
ensembl:lncRNA